UUUUUAUUGAACUUUAUGAUUUGAUUCGAUUCUCGAUUUAACAAUUAUGUUUCUACUAUUGAUGUACAUUGUACUUGCUCCAAAAUGGUAGCUUCCUUCUCUACCUGUAAAGUGGAUUGAUUAGAAGUCCCUUUGUGCAGGGUGAGAGUUUGUAUCGAGGUGCUUUAUUUGAUUCUGUGACUUCAUCAAAUCAUUUGGUCCUAUUGUUUUUGGGCAAAUAUUACUCAAUUCAUUACUUUAUUUUUCAGAUGCUUAAGGUUAUGCUAUCAUGUGCCUUAGUGUUGCAAUAUAUUUCUCCUAGAUGCUCAGGUUUAAAGAAAAGAG
rnacentral:misc_RNA from 1 species